rnacentral:rRNA from 1 species
CCUACGGGAGUCAGCAGUGGGGAAUAUUGCACAAUGGGGGAAACCCUGAUGCAGCGACGCCGCGUGAGUGAAGCAGUAUCUCGGUACGUAAAGCUCUAUCAGCAGGGAAGAAAAUGACGGUACCUGACUAAGAAGCCCCGGCUAACUCCGUGCCAGCAGCCGCGGUAAUACGUAGGGGGCAAGCGUUAUCCGGAUUUACUGGGUGUAAAGGGAGCGUAGACGGCAGGACAAGUCUGGAGUUAAAUCCGCGGGCUUAACCCGGGUACGGCUUUGGAUACUGUUCGGCUGGAAUGUAGGAGAGGUAAGCGGAAUUCCUAGUGUAGCGGUGAAAUGCGUAGAUAUUAGGAGGAACACCGGUGGCGAAAGCGGCUUACUGGACUGUAAUUGACGUUGAGGAUCGAAAGCGUGGGGAGCAAACAGGAUUAGAUACCCGAGUAGGC